rnacentral:rRNA from 1 species
GCGGUGGAUGAUGUGGAUUAAUUCGAUGCAACGCGAAAACCUUACCUACCCUUGACAUGUCCAGAAGCCUGAAGAGAUUUGGGUGUGCCCGAAAGGGAACUGGAACACAGGUGCUGCAUGGCUGUCGUCAGCUCGUGUCGUGAGAUGUUGGGGUUAAGUCCCGCAACGAGCGCAACCCUUGUCGUUAAUUGCCAUCAUUCAGUUGGGCACUUUAACGAGACUGCCGGUGACAAAACCGGAGGAAGGUGGGGAUGACGUCAAGUCCUCAUGGCCCUUAUGGGUAGGGCUUCACACGUCAUACAAUGGUCGGUACAGAGGGUUGCCAAGCCGCGAGGUGGAGCCAAUCCCAGAAAGCCGAUCGUAGUCCGGAUCGCAGGCUGCAACUCGCCUGCGUGAAGUCGGAAUCGCUAGUAAUCGCGGAUCAGCAUGUCGCGGUGAAUACGUUCCCGGGUCUUGUACACAC